GACGAACGCUGGCGGCGUGCUUAACACAUGCAAGUCGAACGGAAAGGCCCUGCUUGCAGGGUACUCGAGUGGCGAACGGGUGAGUAACACGUGGGUGAUCUGCCCUGCACUUCGGGAUAAGCCUGGGAAACUGGGUCUAAUACCGGAUAGGAGCCAUUUUUAGUGUGAUGGUUGGAAAGUUUUUUCGGUGUAGGAUGAGCUCGCGGCCUAUCAGCUUGUUGGUGGGGUAAUGGCCUACCAAGGCGGCGACGGGUAGCCGGCCUGAGAGGGUGGACGGCCACAUUGGGACUGAGAUACGGCCCAGACUCCUACGGGAGGCAGCAGUGGGGAAUAUUGCACAAUGGGCGCAAGCCUGAUGCAGCGACGCCGCGUGGGGGAUGACGGCCUUCGGGUUGUAAACUCCUUUCGCUAGGGACGAAGCUUUUUGUGACGGUACCUAGAGAAGAAGUACCGGCUAACUACGUG
rnacentral:rRNA from 1 species